CAUCCGGCAACUCUGGUAAAAUGUCGCCACAGUUGUGAAAAAAAUGCAAGUGAUUUAGGCAAAUUGUUGUUAAAUUAUUAACUAAAAAGUGAAAUUAAAGAGUUAAGUUGCCUGGUAUAAGUGAAUGGUGUUGAAUGAAAAAGCAGUAUAAAAGAAAAAGCCGCUUUCCAAAUAAAAACGCUAAAGUGUCGUGUGAUGAAGCCAAAAAAAAAGUAGCGACGCCUUCUCUAAUUCUAGGCAAAUAUUGUGUACUAAUGUUAAAAAAGAGAAAUUGCAAUGCGAAAUCAAUGUUUCCAAAUGUUAAUAAAGUAAAGAAACUAUGGCGGAGCAGGAAUAUAUUAUUUGGCGGAUCAUCUUGGGCAGUCGAACUGGAGGAUGCCUUCAAGGUGCAGCUUCCGCUCCUGGUGGCCAGAAAAAAAAAGGCGGGUAACUUCCGCAAACAGAACUUUGACCACCUGGAGGUGAGCUUCACCAGAAGCAACCGGGGCAAUAACCUGCUGACCAUCGACGGCAAACCCUUCACCCUUAAUCGUCGAAUCAAGGACGUCUGCUACUGGGAAUGCGUCAAGCUGCGCUGCAAGUACAUCAAGUGCUCCGCCCGCGUGGUGACAAAGUCCAACCGGAUCUCGGCCCUGCGCGGGCUCCACAAUCAUCCCUAAGAUACGAAUUACCUGUGCCAUCUUAUUAGUCGAAUAAAGGUGUUUCCGUUAAGCAAAUAAUCAUUUUCCGCCUCCCUGCCGUUGUAGUUUCUCCAGCUACCAACUGGUGGCUAACCGCCGCGGCGGUAAGAACCUGAUCUUCCAAGGACACAUGUACUCCGUGGAGCGCAAGUACCGGAACAGCAUCAACUGGGUCUGCUCUAAGAAC